rnacentral:rRNA from 1 species
ACAUGAUCAGUUAUCCAAAUAGCAUCAAAUUUGUAUCCACCAACAAGUGUUACCAAUAUAUAUGGUCACUGGCUUGAUGGAAUACCAAAUACUUUUAGUACCCUAAUACGGGUGGGAGCGUCUGGCUUACUAUGGUCGCUUUGGCUAUGUAGAAAUGAUUGUGUUUUUAAUGACAAAAUCUCUUCUCCUAUGCAGGUUAUUUACCGUUGUACGCACUGGCUUCGUAUGUGGUCUACUCUGCACCGAACGGAGUACCAAUUGCUGUUCAAGGCGGUGUGUAUGCGGUUGGAGCGGGUGGCCAGGGAGGUUUUUACCCAACAUGGGUGGCAGCAUAAUCUCCGAAUCGAUCCACCUUCUCCGUCGACAUAG